UCCGUUAUGGUGUAAUGGUUAACAUUAUCGCCUCUCAUACUUCGGUGUUAAAAACACCUGCGCAAUAGCUCAGGGUUCGAUUCCCUGUAACGGAA